rnacentral:rRNA from 1 species
AGUGAACGCUGGCGGUAGGCCUAACGCAUGCAAGUCGAACGGCAGCACAGUAAGAGCUUGCUCUUACGGGUGGCGAGUGGCGGACGGGUGAGGAAUACAUCGGAAUCUACUUUUUCGUGGGGGAUAACGUAGGGAAACUUACGCUAAUACCGCAUACGACCUACGGGUGAAAGCAGGGGAUCUUCGGACCUUGCGCGAUUGAAUGAGCCGAUGUCGGAUUAGCUAGUUGGCGGGGUAAAGGCCCACCAAGGCGACGAUCCGUAGCUGGUCUGAGAGGAUGAUCAGCCACACUGGAACUGAGACACGGUCCAGACUCCUACGGGAGGCAGCAGUGGGGAAUAUUGGACAAUGGGCGCAAGCCUGAUCCAGCCAGACCGCGUGGGUGAAGAAGGCCUUCGGGUUGUAAAGCCCUUUUGUUGGGAAAGAAAAGCAGCAGGUUAAUACCCCGCUGUUCUGACGGUACCCAAAGAACAAGCACCGGCUAACUUCGUG